UACGUAGGGGGCUAGCGUUGUCCGGAUUUAUUGGGCGUAAAGAGCGUGUAGGCGGACCUGCAAGUCGGGGGUGAAAGCCCGAGGCUCAACCUCGGAACUGCCUUCGAUACUGCGGGUCUCGAGUCCGGGAGAGGUGAGUGGAAUUCCUAGUGUAGAGGUGAAAUUCGUAGAUAUUAGGAAGAACACCAGUGGCGAAGGCGGCUCACUGGCCCGGUACUGACGCUGAGGCGCGAAAGCGUGGGGAGCAAACAGG
rnacentral:rRNA from 1 species